rnacentral:rRNA from 1 species
UACGUAGGGUGCGAGCGUUGUCCGGAAUUAUUGGGCGUAAAGAGCUCGUAGGCGGUCUGUCGCGUCGGUCGUGAAAACUUGGGGCUUAACCCUGAGCUUGCGGUCGAUACGGGCAUGACUGGAGUUCGGCAGGGGGGACUGGAAUUCCUGGUGUAGCGGUGAAAUGCGCAGAUAUCAGGAGGAACACCGGUGGCGAAGGCGGGUCUCUGGGCCGUAACUGACGCUGAGGAGCGAAAGCAUGGGUAGCGAACAGG